rnacentral:rRNA from 1 species
GAAAAGAAACUAACCAGGAUUCCCCCAGUAGCGGCGAGCGAAGCGGGAAAAGCCCAAGGCCGGAAUCCCCCCCUUCACCGAGGGGGGGAGUUGUAGCCUAUGGACGCGUCGAUCGACCCUUGCGCAGGCAGACCAAGUCCCUUGGAACAGGGCGCCAGAGAGGGUGAUAGCCCCGUCCGUCUGCUCGCGCUUGGGCCAUUCUGACGAUGCGGUCCGAGAGUCGGGUUGUUUGGGAAUGCAGCCCGAAGCGGGAGGUAAGCGCCUUCCAAGGCUAAAUAUUCUGGCGAGAGACCGAUAGCGAACAAGUACUGUGAAGGAAAGUUGAAAAGCACUCUGGAGAGAGAGUGAAAAGAACGUGAAACCAUGUGUAGGGAAGCGCUUGCACGGGGCACUGCUCCCCUGCUUCUUCGGAGGCAGGGGACGCCCAGCACCAGCUUGGGCUGCCGGACAAGCGGCGGGCAAAGGUAGGGCUCCUCCUCUGGGGGGGUCUGUUACAGGGCCCGUUGCGCUGCGGCGGCCUGGGCUGAGGAACGCGGCCACUUCUCUGUGGAGCGCGGGCGCCUGGCGGGGGCUGGCUGUGUGCGGCGCGCGAGACAGCAUGCUGACUCGUGCGGCGCGCGCGGCCUCCGCCCCGCCGGCCCCGCUAUGGCCAUGGGCUUGCUGGGAAGCGCCGAACAAGCGACCCGU